AACGAACGCUGGCGGCGUGCCUAACACAUGCAAGUCGUGCGAGAAAGUUCCUUCGGGAGCGAGUAAAGCGGCGCACGGGUGAGUAACACGUAGGUAACCUGCCCCCCAGUCUGGAACACUAGAGGAAACUCUAGCUAAUGCCGGAUGAGACCACGAUCCCUUCGGGGGUUGCGGCCAAAAGAUGGCCUCUACUUGUAAGCUAUCGCUGAGGGAUGGGCCUGCGGGCCAUUAGCUUGUUGGUGAGGUAACGGCUCACCAAGGCUGUGAUGGCUAGCUGGUCUGAGAGGAUGACCAGCCACACUGGGACUGAGACACGGCCCAGACCUCCUACGGGAGGCAGCAGUGGGAAUAUGCGCAAUGGGCGAAAGCCUGACGCAGCGACGCCGCGUGGGU
rnacentral:rRNA from 1 species